GAAAGUAAACAAGGGCGCAUGGAGGAUGCCUAGGCUCUCGGAGGCGAAGAAGGACGUGAUAAGCUGCGAAAAGUUACGGUAAGGCGCAAAUAGCCCUAGACCCGUAAAUAUCCGAAUGGGGCAACCCGGCCAGCAAUGGCCAUACCGCCAAGCGGUAAGCCAACGCGGGGAACUGAAACAUCUAAGUACCCGCAGGAAAAGAAAAUAACAAUGAUUCCGCCAGUAGUGGCGAGCGAACGCGGAACAGCCCAAACCACCCGUGUUACGGCACGAGUGGGGUAGAAGGAUCCACGCUACGGCAAGAAAUAAGUUAGCAGAAUACGAUGGAAAUCGUAGCCAAAGACGGUGACAGCCCGGUACGCGAAAACGGACAGAAGCCCAGUGGACACCUGAGUAACCCAGGACACGAGAAAUCCGGGGCGAAUCAGCGGGGCCCAUCCCGUAAGGCUAAAUACUCCCGAGAGACCGAUAGCGAACCAGUACUGUGAAGGAAAGGUGAAAAGAACCUCGAACAGAGGAGUGAAAGAGACCCUGAAACCAUGCGCCUACAAGCGGUCGGAGCAUGUUAAAAUGUGACGGCGUGCCUUUUGCAUAAUGAACCUACGAGUUACUCUCGCUGGCAAGGUUAAGCGAUUCAGUCGCGCAGCCGAAGCGAAAGCAAGUCCGAACAAGGCGUACAGUCAGCGGGAGUAGACGCGAAACCAAGUGAUCUACCCUUGGUCAGGUUGAAGGUUGGGUAACACCAACUGGAGGACCGCACCGAUAAGCGUUGAAAAGCUUACGGAUGAACUGAGGGUAGGAGUGAAAGGCCAAUCAAACUUGGAGAUAGCUCGUACUCCCCGAAAUGCAUUUAGGUGCAGCCUCGAAGUAAAGUGAUAGAGGUAGAGCGACUGAUAAGAUGCGAGGGCUUCACCGCCUAUCAAGUCUUGACAAACUCCGAAUACUAUCACUUGAUCUUCGGGAGUGAGGGCAUGGGUGCUAAGGUCCAUGUCCGAAAGAGGAACAACUCAGACCACCAGCUAAGGUCCCGAAAUAAGGGCUAAGUUGAAUAAACGAAGUAAAACUGCAAAGACAGCUAGGAUGUUGGCUUGGAAGCAGCCAUUCAUUUAAAGAGUGCGUAACAGCUCACUAGUCGAGGAGUUUUGCAUGGAUAAUAAUCGGGCAUAAGCCCUUUACCGAAGCUGUGGAUGUCGUAAGACAUGGUAGGGGAGCAUUCCGGCGGCGACGAAGGCCGUCCUCGAGGACGACUGGAGCUUUCGGAAAAGCAAAUGUAGGUAUAAGUAACGAUAAAGGGGGCGUGAAACCCCCUCGCCAUAAGACUAAGGAUUCCUGAUCAACGCUAAUCGGAUCAGGGUAAGUCGGGCCCUAAGGCGCAGCCGAACGGCGUAGCCGAUGGAAGAAACGGUAAAGAUUCCGUUACUGGAUAUAGGAGCGAUGUGGAGACGGAGAAGUGACACACCCGCCUGCCGACGGAAGCGCAGGUUAAAGGAAGUAGGUAAACGCCGGGUAGGCAAAUCCGCCUGGCGUGCCGAAGCUGACAGUAUCGAGAGCCCCCGGGCAAUCGAAUAGCGGUGGUAAUCAGGCUCCCAAGAAAAUCCGCUAAGCAUAUUCUAUAUUCACCCGUACCCCAAACGGACACACGUAGUCGGGUAGAAUAUACCAAGGCGCUCGAAAGACUCACGGUUAAGGAACUAGGCAAAUUGACCCUGUAACCUCGGGAAAAAGGGUCCCCAGUAAGAUGGGGCGCAGAGAAUAGGUCCAGGCAACUGUUUAACAAAAACACAGGGCUGUGCAAAAUUUCAAGAUGAAGUAUACAGCCUGACACCUGCCCGGUGCCGGAAGGUUAAGAGGAGAGCUAAUCGCAAGAGAAGGCUUGAAUUGAAGCCCCGGUAAACGGCGGCCGUAACUAUAACGGUCCUAAGGUAGCGAAAUUCCUUGUCGGGUAAGUUC
rnacentral:rRNA from 1 species